ensembl:lncRNA
GUGCUGAAUGCUAUAAUCUGACACAAAGCAGAAAUUGUGUCUAAUAGAGAAAAUGUAAAGUAAUUUCCACAGACCUGACCUUAUUCUAAGAAUACCUUGCUCCCUGGAUAUAGACAAGAGACACAUAGAUCCUCUGAGUUGCUGUUGGAAGGAGCUUCUUUCAGAUGCUUGUAAAAAGAGGACAGAAGCACAAGUAUCCUGGCAGUAGAUGCAACCCACAGAGACAACCAAAUGUUUGCUGCUACACACACCCAUGGAGUGACCACACGAGACAUACAACCUUUUGGCUGAGGACAUGUACCGCAAUAAAAAUGAGGACAACCAAUGAAGAAAUUAGUCUUGAACAAACUCCAUGUACGGAGCAUCAGGUUCUCCACCAAAUUUGUCUGGUAACACUGAAAACCAAGAAGAUGUACGGAAGACCUGCUAUGAAUACAGUGAAGAUCCCUAGGAAAACUACACUACAGAAGUAUUUCAACUUUUUUUAAGUUAUCACAUUAACACUGGUGAACCAUUACUGAUGCUGAUAGAUGACUCAGGAAGAAGGGAUUAUAUGGGUUGCUCACCAGAACUGAUGAUGGACAUCAGCCUAUGGUUCCAAGAAUGUUAAUGUGGGAACUGUCUCCUCUUUUGUUUCCCCAGAAGAUUUCACUCCAUUGUUUCUCUAAUGUAUUUUAUUUUCCUUUCGUUAAGUGCUGUACAAAGGAACUUGCAGCAAUUGAUUCCCUACUGCUGGUGUAAUGCAACACCUGAGGUCCCCCUAUAUAGCUCAUAACUUUGCUUAUCUCUACGGUACGUACACAGGAGGUCACAGAAGCCAGACAAAACCCUCAUACAAUAUGAUAAUUUGGCUGAUUAUUACAGGCUGAAUGAAGCAGGUGGCUGGAAAAGGCUGACAUUUCUGAAUUGGUCAGCUCAGAUACAAGCAACAAAUUUUCGUAUGUUGUGGGACCAAUAUGCGCCUUUAAUACCAGUUUGACUUCAUAAGGAAUACAUUCUUCGUGUCAGCACACAACUGUUUUGGCCAUUACCCUUUAAUGCUUUACAAGCACCACAAGACAUGUGGCUUUGAAACAACACUUUGUACGAGCUGCAGUACCUGAAUCUAUCUUAUAUAUGGAAAAUUAGUUGGAGUUGCUUAUAACAAAUGUGUAAAUCCAAGGAGAGAACUUACAAGCGCUUGUGGACCACAGAUUCACUAUGAAGAUACUUCUGGAAUAUUUCCUUUCCAUCUAAAACAUUUAUAUUUUAAACUGACAAGAUAUAUAGGAUUUUGGAUAAAAAAAAUAAUUAUCAGCUUUUAUUAGAUUGUUUCACAAACAUUAUAGGCUGCAUGUUAUUUACUGUUGAAUUUAUAUUGAAUUCUAAGCAGUUCGUUUUCCUUCAAAAUUUACAUACAUUGCCAGUCAAAUGAUCUGACAUCUAAAUAUCAAAUUGUCACCAUACUUCUCUCAUGCUCCUUUUUAAAAUUCUGUGAUAAGUCAGAGCCAGAUCUUCGUUGCAUUAGUGGAAAUCUAUACAGAACCAACAGUUUUGUUUCAGAGAUACUGAUAUAACGGAACCAGAAUCUAAGCUGAUGUUCUUUCUUAUAUCAACACUAUUUAUUUUUAACGUACAUGGCCUAAUUCAUAAAUCAGCUUUGCAGAGUUGCGUUCCUUUUUGUUCCUUUAUGAAGAUACAAGGGUGGCAUAUUUGAUGGGGAAUUAAAAGAGAUCUCCAAGAUGAAUUAUUCACAACAGCAAACAAUAUACUCUAAAGAAAAUGAUAGCUUUUAGAAAUAUGGUACAGUAUGUACAGAGACCACAUAAAUACAGGAAAGCAAGAAAAGAAGAAUUAAAUAAAUGACUCGUUUUGAAACA